GACGAACGCUGGCGGCGUGCUUAACACAUGCAAGUCGAACGGAAAGGCCCUGCUUUUGUGGGGUGCUCGAGUGGCGAACGGGUGAGUAACACGUGAGUAACCUGCCCUUGACUUUGGGAUAACUUCAGGAAACUGGGGCUAAUACCGGAUAGGAGCUCCUGCUGCAUGGUGGGGGUUGGAAAGUUUCGGCGGUUGGGGAUGGACUCGCGGCUUAUCAGCUUGUUGGUGGGGUAGUGGCUUACCAAGGCUUUGACGGGUAGCCGGCCUGAGAGGGUGACCGGCCACAUUGGGACUGGGAUACGACCCAGACUCCUACGGGAGGCAGCAGUGGGGAAUAUUGCACAAUGGGCGGAAGCCUGAUGCAGCAACGCCGCGUGCGGGAUGACGGCCUUCGGGUUGUAAACCGCUUUCGCCUGUGACGAAGCGUGAGUGACGGUAAUGGGUAAAGAAGCACCGGCUAACUACGUG
rnacentral:rRNA from 1 species